UCUGUCCUUCCCACUCGCCCCGCCCGUGGUUCCCCUGGGCCUGGGUCCGCCCGCGACGGCCCCCAAGCUCCCACUGGGGCCUGGAGGACAGAGUUUACCGGAGAGACCCCCUUGUUGGAGAUCUCCCGCUGGAGGACGCGGCCGCGUCACUGAAUUUGCCCGGAAGGGGGAGUAGGAGUUCUCCUGCCUGUCACUCUCAGUCAAGCCUCGUGAAUUUCUCUCGUUCCCUCUACACGCCCCCUCCGCAGUCUCUUCAAAUUGUCAUCCCACCCUGACAGCUGCACUGCAUCAGUGGUGACAGGUCCAGGAACACAGGCAGUGAAAAGAAGAGAUUGGACCUGGAAAAGAAACUUUAUGAACAUAAUCAAUCUGACAUAUGCAGCAGGUAGUGAUCUCAGCUGGUCUUGAACCGCAAACUGGCUCCUGGCUGCAGCUCCAGCCUCAGUUCAGAUCUUCUGUUGUUAGCGAGUGGCUUGCGCAUGCGUGGUUCAGUCCAUCAGAAAGGUUAAGGAGAUGUAACCACCAGCCAUCCUGAAACUGACCAAAUGAGGCACUCAAGGGAGAUGUAACCACCAGCCAUCCUGAAACUGACCAAAUGAGGCACUCAAGGGAGAUGUAACCACCAGCCAUCCUGAAACUGACCAAAUGAGGCACUCAAGGGAGAUGUAACCACCAGCCAUCCUGAAACUGACCAAGCCUCACCACAAGAGCUAUGCCCAUGACCUUUGCUUUAUUUUUAAUGCAAAGAUCUCUCCAGGAGGAGCUUAGGCCUCAUUAUGUGGAAGCAUGUUCUCCAGCUGAGCCUGUGCAAGUGAAUACCCCCACCUCUCCCUUUUGAAUAUUAUUCCCCAACUGAAAUAAAAGUUCCUGCUUCCCUUAGUUCUGGGACGCCAUGACUUUGGAAAUGAUUCCUCACGGCCUCCUAUUUGCUGCAAAUACAGUUUACUUUGUGAGACAAC